rnacentral:rRNA from 1 species
UACGGAGGGUGCGAGCGUUGUCCGGAAUCACUGGGCGUAAAGGGCGCGUAGGCGGGCUCGCAGGUCAGGGGUGAAAGCCCACGGCUCAACCGUGGAAGUGCCUUUGAUACCGUGAGUCUCGAGGGAGGUAGGGGCGUGCGGAACUUCCGGUGGAGCGGUGAAAUGCGUAGAUAUCGGAAGGAACAUCGGUGGCGAAAGCGGCGCGCUGGACCUCUUCUGACGCUGAGGCGCGAAAGCCAGGGGAGCAAACGGG